AAGCGAUAAGAUAUAAAUUUUGCUAAACUGUUGAUUCACUAGUUAAUUUAUGUUUUAUAGUCAUUCAGAAAUUAGUGAAAUUUUCCUAUAAUGCCAAAUCCAACCAAUACAGGGAACCUUGAAACCGAUUCUAAGGUGUGGAAAUCACCUAGUAAUCCCCCAACCGACUCAGCACCAACUCCACCAACUACAGAAAAGAUCUCGUCUUCUCAACCAAAACGGAAAUGUGUAAUACUUUAAAUAUUAAGAUAAUUCCUUUUAUUGUUUAAUUAAAUUUGAUAGUUAUGACUAAAAUGAAACGAAAA